rnacentral:tRNA from 2 species
GGGCCCGUCGCCCAGUCAGGAGAGGGUGCUGGCCUCCGGAGCCAGUUGUCGUGGGAUCGAAGCCCACCGGGCCCG